CUCCUCUCAUACUGGUCUGAUUCCUAUGAAACUACGCCAAAACACGUCAAAAUAUGUCUUUUUUCACGUGUCUGUGGAGCUUCAGAUGGACCAAAGAUGCCUCAAUUAAUCCGAAUAAACAGCCUGUUGGAGCCAAAACUUAACAUGCCCGGUUACUCACACAAGUCAAGAGAGCGCGGUCAGUGAGGGAGAGGACGGGCUUCAACAGGUUUGUCCUCCAACAUGACUCACAGACGAGUAACUGAAAGACGAGUAAGCGAAAAACAAAGACGCCCGAAAUAAUGAGGCCGAGAGAGAGAAUACACCUCAGCAUCAUCCGUGUGCACGCACCAACAUUCAUCAGUGUGUGCAUG